AAAACAACAACAAAGAAAUGAGAUUGCGUGUGCUCUGUGCUGUUUACUGUUGUGUUUGUACUUCACACUCUCUUUUCACUGUAUAUUUGGUUCUCUUUGUUUUAAUCAGUCCAACAAAGUGUUUUAUAACAGUUUUACAAUUUCUUUUUGACAGAUUCGUCAGCUAUAUUUAAUAGACUUGGAGAUGGGCCGCACAGUUUGUAAGAAAAAUGAUGAAGACAUUGACAAUUGCCCAUUACAGCAAGGCCCAGGAGAGAAAAGGGUGCGCUGCACUUAUAUCGUGGAGACUUUAGCAUGGAUUACCCAAUUCAACAUCAUUAACAGCACUUGUGUUUAGGCAUUGGCGAGAAAGGAAACCCUGGAUACAUGCAGCCAAAGUCUUCUUUCCUCUAGAAUGUGAUCAUCUGUGGUCCAAAGUCUGUGUAGCACCAGCACAAUUAAAAGCAUCUCACAACA